rnacentral:rRNA from 1 species
UACGUAGGGGGCAAGCGUUGUCCGGAUUUAUUGGGCGUAAAGAGCGUGUAGGCGGAGGCCUAAGUACCUUGUGAAAUCCCACGGCUCAACCGUGGAACUGCUUGGUAUACUGGGUCUCUUGAGCCACCUAGGGGCAAGUGGAACAAACGGUGGAGCGGUGAAAUGCGUAGAUAUCGUUUGGAACGCCAAUGGUGAAAACAACUUGCUGGGGGUGUGCUGACGCUGAGACACGAAAGCCAGGGGAGCAAACGGG